rnacentral:rRNA from 1 species
CCUACGGGGGGCAGCAGUGGGGAAUUUUGGACAAUGGGCGAAAGCCUGAUCCAGCCAUUCCGCGUGCAGGAUGAAGGCCUUCGGGUUGUAAACUGCUUUUGUACGGAACGAAACGGUCCUUUCUAAUACAAGGGGCUAAUGACGGUACCGUAAGAAUAAGCACCGGCUAACUACGUGCCAGCAGCCGCGGUAAUACGUAGGGUGCAAGCGUUAAUCGGAAUUACUGGGCGUAAAGCGUGCGCAGGCGGUUAUGUAAGACAGAUGUGAAAUCCCCGGGCUCAACCUGGGAACUGCAUUUGUGACUGUAUAGCUAGAGUACGGCAGAGGGGGAUGGAAUUCCGCGUGUAGCAGUGAAAUGCGUAGAUAUGCGGAGGAACACCGAUGGCGAAGGCAAUCCCCUGGGCCUGUACUGACGCUCAUGCACGAAAGCGUGGGGAGCAAACAGGAUUAGAUACCCCUGUAGUC